AAUCAACGCUGGCGGCGUGCCUAACACAUGCAAGUCGAUCGGUAACGCGGGGACAACCCUGGCGACGAGAGGCGGACGGGUGAGGAACGCUUGGGAAUCUGCCUAUCAGCGGGGGACAACACGGGGAAACUCGUGCUAAUAUCGCAUACGCUCUACGGAGGAAAGCCGGGGACCGCAAGGCCUGACACUGAUAGAUGAGCCCAAGUCGGAUUAGCUAGUUGGCGGGGUAACGGCCCACCAAGGCGACGAUCCGUAGCUGGUCUGAGAGGACGAUCAGCCACACUGGGACGAAGACACGGCCCAGACUCCUACGGGAGGCAGCAGUGGGGAAUAUUGGACAAUGGGGGAACCCUGAUCCAGCGACGCCGCGUGGGUGAAGAAGGCCUGCGGGUUGUAAAGCCCUUUCGGUAGGGACGAAAGCUCUCGACCUAACACGUCGGGAGGUUGACUUAACCUACAAAAGAAGCACCGGCUAACUCUGUGCCAGCCGCCGCCGUAAUAC
rnacentral:rRNA from 1 species